rnacentral:ncRNA from 1 species
AAAAACCACCACGGGUACCCGGUGAAAAUCCGGGCUGAGAUGCCUACCAAAGGCGAACCGUCGAACCUGAUCCGGUUAGUACCGGCGCUAGGGAGAAAAUACUGUGAGUAC